UGGGGGCUCAACGAAAGCAGCGGAUGUAGCAGGUUCUUAGGCAAGGCCCCCACUGAUGAGAGCCUCUGGCUGUGGGCCAGGCUCAGGCGGCCUCAGCCCACAGCACAGGUCCCAGCUGAACUGCAAGCUGCUGUCCCACCGUCCCCAGCUCAGAGCAAAGCAGAAACUCGAAGCAGACGCUGCUCCCCAAAAGCAGCACCCCAAAAGAUGCUGGGGCAGGCGCCAUGGGCAAGGCUGUCUCCUUCUGGCCCUGCCGUCCUGCUGCUGGUGCUCUGUGAGUUGGGGCAUUGCUGGGUGUGGGGGCUGAGGGCUGGAGGGCUGCUGCUGGGGGCAGAAAAGGCAGAGGGGAGGAUGGGGACAGUAUGUGUGGGGCAGUGGUGCAGCACCGUGGGGCAGAGUUUGUUUGUUGAAGGCAGGAUGGGGAUGGCUUCCUCCAGGUAUGAUACAGAUCUGAGCAAGGGGAACACUUCUGCAGCACUAUAAACUGUCUGGAGUGUUGCUCUGAGGCUCUAGGACUGCUGAGUUUUUUAAGGAGAUACGGGAUUUACCUGGAACAAGAAAUCCACAAAAAAAGGGAUUGGGAUUGACAUUGUUCAAGAGGUUAUUGAAGAGAUAGAGCAUGAGAACACGCAGAUGUAAUGAUGCCUGCUUAGCAGUGAGGAUUUGGUCAGGGGGGAUAUGGGAGUAGGGUGAUAUGGUUGAGACUUGUCACUGCUCCUCUCAGCAAAUCCCUCUCUGUCCCCAGGUACAGCUGCCAGCAUGACCUGCCAGAACAUCUGCAGCUCCCCAGGUACUCGUGAGUCCUUCCCUCCCAGACCCUGCGCACUUGGAAGCCCAACCACUGUGAGCUGUGCCCUAUGGCAGCCCUUCACUGCUGUGUCUCCUGCAGGGGAUCUCCCAGCUCCUGCUCUCCAAAUGAACUCAAGUUCUGCUCAGCCAGGUACCACUGUUGUGCUCCAGUGUAUUCUCCAUGUGGUGUCACAUGCAAGACGAAUCAUCAUCUGCAAGGAUGGGAAGGAGGUGUACAGCCAGAAAGCCCAUGAAGGGCAGCUGAGCUACUCCCUGGUCCUGAACAUCACGUCAAGUACUGCAGGAAUAUAUACCUGUGGGUACCAGGAGUGGAAUGAGAUGAAACACAAGAGGAGCUCUGCCCUCAAUGCUGGCCAAAUCCUGGAUGUCCCCGGUGCAGCUGCUGGCGUGACCACCCAGGACAUCGGCAGCUCCCCAGGUGAGGUUGAGCGUGGGGAUGGGUGACUGAAGAGAGGAGUGUGUGGGGUGGUGAUGGCAAGGGAGAGGGAAUUUGUUCUCUGUGUGUGAGCUCCUGGGAAGGAAUCACUUCCCUGCAUGGAACACAAAGCAUUUUGUGUCCAGUUCUGGGAUUCCCUGUACAAGAGGGGCAUAGAACUACUGGAGAGAGUCCAGAGGAGGGUUGCAAAGAUGAUCAGAGGACCGGAGCCAAGAGCACUGAGUCUGUUUUGCCUGGAAAAGAGGAGACUGAGGGGAGACCUCAUCCAUGUCUAUAAAUAUCUGAGGGGAGGGUGUUGAGAGAAUGGUGCUGGUCUGCCCAGGGAAAGGGCGAGAAGCAAUGGGCUCAAACUGAAGCACAGAAAGUUCCAUCUGGAUAUGAGGGGCAAUUCUUUACUGGGAGGGUGACAGAGCACUGGAACAGGCUGCCCAGAGAUGCUGUGGAGUCUCCUCUGCAGAUAUUCCAAACCCACCUGGAUGCCAUUCUGUGUAGUCUGUCCCAGGUGAUCCUGCUCAGCAGAAGGCUGGACUCCAUGACUUUCAGAGGUCCCUUCCAACCUUGGCCAUUCUGUGAUUGUGUGAUCCUCUAGCACCAAGAAUCACAGACAGAUGAGAGUGGUGGUGCCAUAUUUAAUCGACAGGCACACCUUGGCCAAGCUAUACUUAACCACUCACGAGGGAAUUUAGACAGCAGAUCCAUGGAGACCUAUGUUGGCACAACAACCGCGGGCAAUUUUAUGCCUUCCCUGGGGAUGGUGCUGGCUGUCGGUGGGGGGAUGUGGCCAUGGGGAUGAGGCUCGUUCUGGGAAGGAUCUGGGUGCACUGUAGGCACUAAGCCUGUCCUUUUGUCCUGCCAGGCAAUGUGGUGAGUUCCCCAGCAAGUCCAUCAACCACAGGUGAGUGAUUCCCUCCUACACCCCCAGAAACCCGAGAAUGGGGAGUGGGUGUGCUGUGCUGCCAUCCCCAGGGCAUGGGGACAAACAGGAGCUUUACCAGGCAGGAGCUGUGC
rnacentral:lncRNA from 1 species